CUACACCAUUAUAAGUCAAUUGGGGCAUUUUUGGGCAGCUCCUGCCCCCCAGGGGUGCAACUUUUACCCCAUAUUGAGGUAUGCUUUUACAGAGCCUGCCAGCCUCUUCAAAUGUGGCAAAUCACACGUUUCUACGAAAUCCUCGCUUGGAGCUGUGACGCGUCAAAGUUUGUCUCAAUGUUAAGUCUAUGGGAUUUUUCGGCCGCUUUUUUGCCCCUGGGGCAAAUACCGUACCCCCGAUCGCUUAUAAAAGUCAUAGCACACGUGUCCUCAAUAGGCCGUUCGAUUUGAUACCUCAUUCGUGGGUCUACGCCAAACGGUGCGGGACGAGUUAGGUGCCGAAGUUUUGUUAAGAGAUAUAAUAAAAAUAAAAAUAAAAAGUAUAAUAAGUAUGUGAGAUUACAAUAGUG